rnacentral:rRNA from 1 species
AACGAACGUUAGCGGCGCGCCUAACACAUGCAAGUCGUACGAGAAAGGGCUUCGGCCCCGGUAAAGUGGCGUACGGGUGAGUAACACGUAGGUAACCUACCCUCGAGUGGUGGAUAACCCUCCGAAAGGAGAGCUAAUACAGCAUAAGACACGACAUCACGGUGUUGUGGCCAAAGUGGGCCUCUCUAUAGAAGCUCGCGCUUGAGGACGGGCCUGCGGCCCAUCAGCUUGUUGGUGAGGUAACGGCCCACCAAGGCAAAGACGGGUAGCUGGUCUGAGAGGAUGAACAGCCACACUGGAACUGAGACACGGUCCAGACUCCUACGGGAGGCAGCAGUGGGGAAUCUUGCGCAAGGGGGGAAACCCUGACGCAGCGACGCCGCGUGAGCGAUGAAGGCCCUCGGGUUGUAAAGCUCUGUGGGGAGGGAAGAAUAAGCCUGGGCUAAUACCUCCAGGUGAUGACGGUACCUCCUUAGCAAGCACCGGCUAACUCUGUGCCAGCAGCCGCGGUAAGACAGAGGGUGCAAACGUUGUUCGGAAUUACUGGGCGUAAAGCGCGUGUAGGCGGCUAUGCAAGUCGGGCGUGAAAGCCCACGGCUCAACCGUGGAAGUGCACUCGAAACUG